UACGAGCGGCCCAAACGUUAUUCGGAAUUACUGGGCUUAAAGAGUUCGUAGGCGGCAUGAAAAGCAGGGUGUGAAAGCCCUCGGCUCAACCGAGGAAUUGCGCUCUGAACUGUCGUGCUUGAGGAACCUAGAGGUGAGCAGAACAGAUGGUGGAGCGGUGAAAUGCGUUGAUAUCAUCUGGAAUACCGGAGGCGAAGGCGGCUCACUGGGGAUUUUCUGACGCUGAGGAACGAAAGCCAGGGUAGCGAACGGG
rnacentral:rRNA from 1 species